GCUCUUGUAGUUCAAUGGAUAGAACGCGGCCCUCCGGAGGCUGUAAUUGCAGUUCGACUCUGCACAAGAGCG
rnacentral:tRNA from 1 species